rnacentral:tRNA from 2 species
CAAGGGGUCGCUGAACAGCAAAGCAUCUCCCUUACGCUGAGAAGAUAUUCGUGCAAAUCGGAUUCCCUUGA